rnacentral:rRNA from 1 species
AACAAACGCUGGCGGCGUGCCUAAUACAUGCAAGUCGAACGGGGAAAGCUUUCGGGUGAGUACUAGUGGCGCACGGGUGAGUAACGCGUGGAUAAUCUGCCUUAGAGUGGGGGAUAACUAGUCGAAAGAUUAGCUAAUACCGCAUAAGACCACAAGAACUGCGGUUCAAGAGGUCAAAGGUUUUUCGCUCUAAGAUGAGUCCGCGUAAGAUUAGCUAGUUGGUGAGGUAACGGCUCACCAAGGCAACGAUCUUUAACUGGUCUGAGAGGACGAUCAGUCACACUGGAACUGAGACACGGUCCAGACUCCUACGGGAGGCAGCAGUAGGGAAUAUUGCACAAUGGAGGAAACUCUGAUGCAGCGACGCCGCGUGAGUGAUGAAGGCCUUCGGGUCGUAAAGCUCUGUCGCAGGGGAAUAACACAAUGAAUGUACCCUGUAAGAAAGGAUCGGCUAACUUCGUGCCAGCAGCCGCAGUAAGAC